ACGGGAGCCAUUAUUUUACUCCUCAGUUUUCUCAGAGCCUGAUGAGGAGAGGCAAAUAUACUUGUGUGGGAGUCCAGACGGCAGCAUUAACAUUGGCCUUGUAUUUGUAUCCCUUCCUUGCAGUCAUUACUAGAGAGACAACCGGCAGAAUUGUGUCCAGAGCCUUGUCUUCCACCUACACCUUACCAGAACCCAAUGCAGAAAGGUACCGGUGCAGAGCCGGUUACAUUGGUGCCAAGACGCAGAUCGACGUGGAUCAUUAUGAAUCGCUGUUGAUCAACACCAGCUUGGUCACCGGGAGUUGCUAUGCUAUAAAUAGGUUGGAAGUCAAAUCUCUUAAACACACCACAAAAUAGCUAAUGUUUUUUUGGUAUAUCUCUUAGAUUAACUGAUACAUUUGAAAUUGUUGUUACAUAUAUUCCAUUUUAUUUGUGUAUUUUGAUAGUGAAUAUGACUUCAAGUUGAAGUCGGAAGUUUACAUACACUUAGGUUGAAAUUCAUUAAAAGUCGUCUUUCAAUCACUCCACAAAUGUCUUGUUAACAAACUAUAGUUUUGGCAAGUCUGUUAGGAUAUCUACUUUGUGCAUGACAAGUAAUUUUUCCAACAAUUGUAUAGACAUAUUAUUUCACUGUGUCACAAUUCCAGUGGGUCAGAAGUUUAUGUACACUAAGUUUACUGCCUUUAAACAGUUUGGAAAGUUCCAGAAAAUGAUGUCAUGGCUUUAGAACCUUCUGUUGGGCUAAUUGACAUCAUUUGAGUCAAUUGGAGGUGUACAUGUGGAUGUAUUUCAAGGCCUACCAUCAAACUCAGUGCCUCUUUCCUUGACAUUAUGGGAAAAUCAAAAGAAAUCAGCCAAGACCUCAGAAAGAAAAUUGUAGACCUCCACGAGUCUGGUUCAUCCUUGGGAGCAAUUUCCGAAUGCCUUAAGGUACCACGUUCAUCUGUACAAACAAUAGUAUUCAAGUAUAAACACCAUGGGACCACACAGCCGUCAUACCGCUCAGGAAGGAGACUCGUUCUGUCUCCUAGAGAUGAACGUACUUUGGUGCGAAAAGUGCAAAUCAAUCCCAGAACAACAGCAAAGGACCUUGUGAAGAUGCUGGAGGAAACGGGUACAAAAGUAUCUAUAUCCACAGUAAAACGAGUCCUAUAUCGAUAUAACCUGAAAGGCCGCUCAGCAAAGAAGAAGCCACUGCUCCAAAACCGCCAUUAAAAAAGCCAGACAACGGUUUGCAACUGCACAUGGGGACAAAGAUCGUACUUUUUGGAAAAAUGUCCUCUGGUCUAAUGAAACAAAAACAGAACUGUUUGGCCAUAAUGACCAUCAUUAUGUUUGGGGGAAAAGGGGGGAGGCUUGCAAGCCGAAGAACACAAUCCCAACCAUGAAGCACAAGGGUGGCAGCAUCAUGUUGUGGGGGUGCUUUGCUGCAGGAGGGACUGGUGCACUUCUCAAAAUAGAUGGCAUCACGAUGAGGAAAAUUAUGUGGAUAUAUUGAAGCAACAUCAGUCAGGAUGUUAAAGCUUGGUUUUCAAAUGGGUCUUCCAAAUGGACAAUGACCCCAAGUAUACUUCCAAAGUUGUGGCAAAAUGGCUUAAGGACAACAAAGUCAAGGUAUUGGGAGUGGCCAUCACAAAGCCCUGACCUCAAUCCUAUAGAACAUUUGUGGGUAGAACUGAAAAAGCAUGUGUGAGCAAGGAGGCCUACAAACCUGACUCAGUUACACCAGCUCUGUCAGGAGGAAUGGGCCAAAAUUCAUCCAACUUAUUGUGGGAAGCUUGUGGAAGGCUACCCACAAUGUUUGGCCCAAGUUAAACAAUUUAAAGGCAAUUCUACCAAAUACUAAUUGAGUGUACGUGAACUUCUGACCCACUGGAAAUGUGAUGAAACAAAAAAGCUGAAAUAAAUAAUUCUCUACUAUUAUUCUGACAUUUCACAUUCUUAAAAUAAAGUGGUGAUCCUAACUGACCAAAGACAGGGAUUUUUUUACUAGGAUUAAAUGUCAGGAAAUGUGAAACUUGAGUUUCAAUGUAUUUUGCUAAGGUGUAUGUAAACUUCCGACUUCAACUGUAUAUUGUUGAUAAAGGAGAUCGUGUUUUCAGUGAUGAGCUUCAACUGGGUCUUGGGAGAGGGAUGUUUUUCAGGGAGUUGCCUCAGACCCCAGGUAGAACUAUAGAUGUUGUCAUUUCACCACAUUUUUGCUCCACUCGGGUGCCUAACGACACACCGUCAGCUCCUUUCAUUAUGCUUAGUGACACUCAGAUAGUUCAGAGGUGGCCAGUCCUGACUUGGGAGAUCUUACCACACAACUCGCCCAUCAGAUAGGACAGUCUAUAUCAGCUCAGAUUAGGAAGGAAGGUGAGAGGAAGGAGGAUAGAGGCGCACAUUCUCAGAGCUCCAGUGCAGGACAGACAUUCACUGACACACCCUCCCUUCAUUUAUCUGGUAUGAAGUUGGUCGUGCAGUCUGACGUGAGAGAGACUCCAUGUUUCAGAGGGGAGGGGUCUGACAAGUACUCAGUACAUGAAUGGGAGGAGCUCAUGGACGCUUACCUGAGAAAGAUGGGCGUGUCGGUCAUAGAACAGUCACAGGAGAUCAUGUCCAAGCUUCUGGGGAGAGGUAGAGACAUCGUAAAGAUGAAACUCCGCAGCAAUACAUCUCUGAAACCUCACGAGAACCCCAAAGUGAUAGAUAUACUGAAAUAACUUUUCAGUGAGUCGACAUAUUCAUCCAUGCCUCUUGCCGAUUUCUUUUUAUAACAAUUUGCAAGUACUAGGAGAAAAUGCCAUGGAGUACUGGAUCCAUUUGAACAAGGCAGUAGAUGUGGCCGAGGAGUGUUUGAGGAGGCAGGGUCGGCGCAUCGAGUACUUCAGCCGAGAGGUAACGAGAUGAUGUUUGUGAAACACUGCCUUGAUAGGUGGAUAGCAGCUGAGAUACAAAAAUAAUUUUCUCACUGGCAUUCUGCACUGUCUUUUAUCAGGCAAAUAUACUUGUAUGGGAGUCCAGACGGUAGCAUUAACUUUUGCCUUGUUACUGUUCCAUGCAGGUAUGUUGUGAAAUGUGACGAUUUUGUAUUUCAUGUUUAAUGUGCCUAGUUAGCUGUCGUUCAUUUUGUUACCGGUCCGGUCAUGUCAAAAUGGCGUCGUUGCUUCAUUUGUAUGCCUCAAGUAUAAUGGGACAAUAGUACACUAAGAAAUAUUUAGCACUUAUUAGCAAAUUAUUAUUGUAUUGGUGUACAACAUUUAUCAAAUGAAAUGUGAGUCUUUUGUACAUGUUCAUAUUUUCAAUGUAUUUUUUUGUUGACGCUUUUACUAAUGAGUUUGCUCAGAGUGUGAUGAGGAGAGGCAAAUAUACUUGUAUGGGAGUCCAGACUGCAGCAUUAACUUUCGUCUUGGAUUUGUAUCCAUUCCAUGCAGUCAUUAAAAUAGAGACAACCGGA